AACCCCUAUUGUUAGUUGCCAUCAUUCAGUUGGGCACUCUAGCGAGACUGCCGGUAAUAAACCGGAGGAAGGUGGGAUGACGUCAAAUCAUCAUGCCCCUUAUGACCUGGGCUACACACGUGCUACAAUGGUUGGUACAACGAGUUGCGAGUCGGUGACGGCGAGCUAAUCUCUUAAAGCCAAUCUCAGUUCGGAUUGUAGGCUGCAACUCGCCUACAUGAAGUCGGAAUCGCUAGUAAUCGCGGAUCAGCACGCCGCGGUGAAUACGUUCCCGGGCCUU
rnacentral:rRNA from 1 species